rnacentral:rRNA from 1 species
AUUGAACGCUGGCGGCAUGCCUUACACAUGCAAGUCGAACGGCAGCACGUGUGCUUGCACCUGGUGGCGAGUGGCGAACGGGUGAGUAAUACAUCGGAACAUGUCCUGUAGUGGGGGAUAGCCCGGCGAAAGCCGGAUUAAUACCGCAUACGAUCUACGGAUGAAAGCGGGUGACCUUCGGGCCUCGCGCUGUAGGGUUGGCCGAUGGCUGAUUAGCUAGUUGGUGGGGUAAAGGCCUACCAAGGCGACGAUCAGUAGCUGGUCUGAGAGGACGACCAGCCACACUGGGACUGAGCAACGGCCCAGACUCCUACGGGAGGCAGCAGUGGGGAAUUUUGGACAAUGGGCGAAAGCCUGAUCCAGCAAUGCCGCGUGUGUGAAGAAGGCCUUCGGGUUGUAAAGCACUUUUGUCCGGAAAGAAAUCCUUGGCUCUAAUACAGUCGGGGGAUGACGGUACCGGAAGAAUAAGCACCGGCUAACUACGUG